rnacentral:rRNA from 1 species
UGCCAGCAGCCGCGGUAAUACGUAGGUGGCAAGCGUUAAUCGGAAUUACUGGGCGUAAAGCGCGCGUAGGUGGUUUGUUAAGUUGAAUGUGAAAUCCCCGGGCUCAACCUGGGAACUGCAUCCAAAACUGGCAAGCUAGAGUAUGGUAGAGGGUAGUGGAAUUUCCUGUGUGGCGGUGAAAUGCGUAGAUAUAGGAAGGAACACUAGUGGCGAAGGCGACUACCUGGACUGAUACUGACACUGAGGUGCGAAAGCGUGGGGAGCAAACAGGAUUAGAUA